ACCACAAUUCUUUACGUUCAACAAUUUACAUUUGUUUUUUACAGUAAAUCCCAUAAUAAAUUAUCAAAUAUUCUGUAAUUUCGAUAAUUUUAACUAAUACUAAUAUAAUAAUUAUUGUUUUCUGAUUAUUUGAAUAUUAACUUUUAUCAAAUAAAUAUAAAAUAAAAUGUUUGCCGCCAAAUUUGACUUCCCCUACUUUCAUGAGGCAGCCAUCUUGCUUUUUCGUCGAUCACAAUUGCAGGCAGUUUACACGCACGUCAACGGUUCGCUCAUAAAAAUCGAGAAAUCUGCAUUCAAUUUAUCACCUGGAACAUUUUAAACUGGUUGCAAAAAAUAAAUCGGAUGGUAAAAAUCGACAAUAUUUUUUUUGUCAGAGAAGUCAAAAGGCAAUGUUGACACUGGCUACAGAAUGGAAUUUAGGCUCCAGAAGAAACUCAAUCUUUCAGGAAAAAUUUCUCAAGCCACCAGAGAAUGGAAAUCGAAAUUGUCAAAGAUUGGAAAAAGUAAUUUGGACCCGAGAUGUUAAGACAAAAGAUGCUGACAGUAUCUUCAGAAUGGAAUUUUGGAUCCGAAAAAAACUUUUAAUGGUG